rnacentral:rRNA from 1 species
CCUACGGGUGGCAGCAGUGGGGGAUAUUGCUCAAUGGGGGAAACCCUGAUGCAGCAACGCCGCGUGGGUGAUGAAGUAUUUCGGUGUGUAAAGCUCUUUUAGUAGAGAAGAAAAUGACGGUACCUGCCCAAUAAGCCCUGGCUAACUACGUGCCAGCAGCCGCGGGAAUACGGAGGGGGCAAGCGUUAUCAGGAUUUACUGGGUGUAAAGGGAGCGUAGGCGGGUUUGCAAGUCAGGAGUGAAAGCCCUGGGCCUAACCAUGGAACUGCAGUGGAAACUGUGGACCUGGAGUAGAGGAGGGGUAGGCGGAAUUCUUGGUGUAGCGGUGAAAUGCGUAGAGAUCAGGAGGAACA